rnacentral:rRNA from 1 species
GACGAACCGUGCGAACGUUGUUCGGAAUCACUGGGCUUAAAGGGCGCGUAGGCGGGCUAUCAAGUCUGGGGUGAAAUGCCGCGGCUCAACCGUGGAACUGCCUUAGAUACUGACGGCCUCGAGGGAGAUAGGGGCAUGCGGAACUGUAGGUGGAGCGGUGAAAUGCGUUGAUAUCUGCAGGAACUCCGGUGGCGAAAGCGGCGUGCUGGAUCUCUUCUGACGCUGAGGCUCGAAAGCUAGGGGAGCAAACGGG